GGGACACGUGGUAUCCUGUCUGAAUAUGGGGGGACCAUCCUCCAAGGCUAAAUACUCCUGACUGACCGAUAGUGAACCAGUACCGUGAGGGAAAGGCGAAAAGAACCCCGGCGAGGGGAGUGAAAAAGAACCUGAAACCGUGUACGUACAAGCAGUGGGAGCACCUUCGGGUGUGACUGCGUACCUUUUGUAUAAUGGGUCAGCGACUUAUAUUCUGUAGCAAGGUUAACCGUAUAGGGGAGCCGCAGGGAAACCGAGUCUUAACUGGGCGUUAAGUUGCAGGGUAUAGACCCGAAACCCGGUGAUCUAGCCAUGGGCAGGUUGAAGGUUGGGUAACACUAACUGGAGGACCGAACCGACUAAUGUUGAAAAAUUAGCGGAUGACUUGUGGCUGGGGGUGAAAGGCCAAUCAAACCGGGAGAUAGCUGGUUCUCCCCGAAAGCUAUUUAGGUAGCGCCUCGUGAACUCAUCUUCGGGGGUAGAGCACUGUUUCGGCUAGGGGGUCAUCCCGACUUACCAACCCGAUGCAAACUACGAAUACCGAAGAAUGUUAUCACGGGAGACACACGGCGGGUGCUAACGUCCGUCGUGAAGAGGGAAACAACCCAGACCGCCAGCUAAGGUCCCAAAGUCAUGGUUAAGUGGGAAACGAUGUGGGAAGGCACAGACAGCCAGGAUGUUGGCUUAGAAGCAGCCAUCAUUUAAAGAAAGCGUAAUAGCUCACUGGUCGAGUCGGCCUGCGCGGAAGAUGUAACGGGGCUAAACCAUGCACCGAAGCUGCGGCAGCGACACUAUGUGUUGUUGGGUAGGGGAGCGUUCUGUAAGCCUGCGAAGGUGACCUGUGAGGGUUGCUGGAGGU
rnacentral:rRNA from 1 species